AGAGUUUGAUCAUGGCUCAGAUUGAACGCUGGCGGCAGGCCUAACACAUGCAAGUCGAACGGUAACAGGAAACAGCUUGCUGUUUCGCUGACGAGUGGCGGACGGGUGAGUAAUGUCUGGGAAACUGCCUGAUGGAGGGGGAUAACUACUGGAAACGGUAGCUAAUACCGCAUAACGUCGCAAGACCAAAGAGGGGGACCCUCGGGCCUCUUGCCAUCGGAUGUGCCCAGAUGGGAUUAGCUUGUUGGUGGGGUAACGGCUCACCAAGGCGACGAUCCCUAGCUGGUCUGAGAGGAUGACCAGCCACACUGGAACUGAGACACGGUCCAGACUCCUACGGGAGGCAGCAGUGGGGAAUAUUGCACAAUGGGCGCAAGCCUGAUGCAGCCAUGCCGCGUGUAUGAAGAAGGCCUUCGGGUUGUAAAGUACUUUCAGCGGGGAGGAAGGGAGUAAAGUUAAUACCUUUGCUCAUUGACGUUACCCGCAGAAGAAGCACCGGCUAACUCCGUGCCAGCAGCCGCGGUAAUACGGAGGGUGCAAGCGUUAAUCGGAAUUACCGGGCGUAAAGCGCACGC
rnacentral:rRNA from 1 species